rnacentral:rRNA from 1 species
AAUCAACGCUGGCGGCGUGCCUCAGACAUGCAAGUCGAACGAUUAAAGCUCUCUUCGGAGAGUGUAUAGAGUGGCGCACGGGUGAGUAACACGUAAGUAAUCUACCUUUGAGUGGGGAAUAACAUCGGGAAACCGAUGCUAAUACCGCAUAAUGCAGCGGCAUCGCAAGAUGACAGUUGUUAAAGAUUUAUCGCUUGAAGAGGAGCUUGCGGCAGAUUAGCUAGUUGGUAGGGUAAUGGCUUACCAAGGCUACGAUCUGUAACCGGUCUAAGAGGACGGUCGGUCACACUGACACUGAAUAACGGGUCAGACUCCUACGGGAGGCAGCAGUCGGGAAUUUUGGGCAAUGGGCGAAAGACCUGACCCAGCAACGCCGCGUGAAGGAUGAAGUAUUUCGGUAUGUAAACUUCGAAAGAAUAGGAAGAAUAAAUGACGGUACUAUUUAUAAGGU